rnacentral:lncRNA from 1 species
UGGUCUAGUAUUAUAUGCAAGGUUCUUCUAGUUCCUUACUCUGGUCUAUGAUCAAUCUAGAUGACACUGCUAUAUUUUGAGAGAUGACAUUAAAAGAAUAGACUGGUUUUUCCUAAUGCUUCUAAGUUUUAUGCUACAAAUUUGACAUAGCUUUUAGUCAUUGAAAAGGGGGAAUGAAAGAGAAAAUUACAUAUCUUGAGCCAAGAAAAUAUCAAUACGUGCUUAUCUUGUUUAUAUUUUCCCCAGUUGUGCUCUCUCAUUGAUUCAAUUGUACUUGUGUGACAACACAUUGUGUAAACUUUUAGCUUCACAGGUUUCAUUUGAUGUGGUGUUCAUACCUCAAUAUAUGGAAAUAGGUUGAGAUUGGCCACAUGUCAUGUAUUAUUGAUCGUUUUUUAAAAUUUUAGUUCAUUAGUAGUCUGAAAUUGGCCUAAAAGCUGUCAUUUGUCUCAAGAAUAUGGAAGACAAAUUGAGUUAUGGUUCAUCUGAUUGGUUUCACUUUUUAACUUAACCAGUGUCUAUUUGCAAUUUCCUUUGAAGUUAAGUAGUGGCUCCUCAUCUGCAACUUGAAAAAUAUGAAAGAGGAAGGGUGCUGAAGGCUAUAAGGAAGAGAGACUAGAAAAUCUAUAAUCUCACAUAUCCCUUUGGGAAGAAGAAAAGGACGAAGAGAAAGGUGUGAAACUUGACCAGCUGCAACUUCCUUACUUCCUCUUGGUACCUUUUUAACCUUUCAAGGGGACCGUGAGUUUUUCUUCCACUUAAAAUCUGUCAUUACAUAAAGUUCUAUUUAGUUCGACCUUUGCUUACUCUUGUAUUUAUAGAUUUGAAGGUUUUGAAUUGUUGGGCCUAUUGUAGGUGCUUGGCACAGAGGGGUUCCCUUCUUGGCUUGCCAUAACUGUAGUUAAUGUCAAAUUAUGCAUUAACUAGUUUCUUAUCCGCUUGAGUGCCUUGUCUUUUUUACAUGCAUAUGAUUUCAGCUGAACUUAGGAGGACUAAUAUUUGCUUCUACUUGUCACUUGUAAAGUUAUCUACAAAUUGCUUACAUGCUAAGUUCACCUUCAGUAUGACCUUGUUAAUGUAUCAAAAGAAAUCUUUAAGCAUUGUUUGUGUGCUCUGUUCUGGAAUUUAAAUUAAUUUGCUGCAUGUUUUGUGCAAAUUUCUAAAGCUUGAUAACAAGCAAU